rnacentral:tRNA from 1 species
AGGCUAGAAAGCAAAAUGGUUUUGCGAAAGUUUGCAAAAUUUUUUUUAUUGGUUCGAAUCCAAUUCUAGCUUA